GCUAGCUCAGCUGGUAGAGCACAAGACUCUUAAUCUCAGGGUUGUGGGUUUGAGCCCCACAUUGGGCA
rnacentral:tRNA from 1 species